rnacentral:misc_RNA from 1 species
GAUGAAGAACGUAGCGAAAUGCGAUAAGUAAUGUGAAUUGCAGAAUUCAGUGAAUCAUCGAAUCUUUGAACGCACAUUGCGCCCGCUGGUAUUCCGGCGGGCAUGCCUGUUCGAGCGUCAUUUUACCCCUCAAGUUACACGACUUGGUGUUGGGGCAUUACCUUCCGCGAGGAGGGUAAGCCCUGAAAUAGACUGGCGGGCUCACUAACACUCCGAGCGUAGUAGUUUGUUCAACCUCGCUUCUGGACGGAUUAGUUUGUUUCUUAGCCACUAAACACCCCCCAAUCUUUUAUAAAGUUGACCUCGGAUCAGGUAGGAAUACCCGCUGAACUUAAGCAUAUCAAUAAGCGGAGGA